UACGUAGGGGGCAAGCGUUAUCCGGAUUUACUGGGUGUAAAGGGAGCGUAGACGGCGAUGCAAGUCUGAAGUGAAAGGCGGGGGCCCAACCCCCGGACUGCUUUGGAAACUGUAUGGCUGGAGUGCAGGGGAGGUAAGUGGAAUUCCUAGUGUAGCGGUGAAAUGCGUAGAUAUUAGGAGGAACACCAGUGGCGAAGGCGGCUUACUGGACUGUAACUGACGUUGAGGCUCGAAAGCGUGGGGAGCAAACAGG
rnacentral:rRNA from 1 species